rnacentral:snRNA from 1 species
AGCCCAGCUUGAAAAUCGGA